rnacentral:rRNA from 1 species
GGGUUGUGAGGUUAAGCGACUAAGCGUACACGGUGGAUGCCCUGGCAGUCAGAGGCGAUGAAGGACGUGCUAAUCUGCGAUAAGCGCCGGUAAGGUGAUAUGAACCGUUAUAACCGGCGAUUUCCGAAUGGGGAAACCCAGUGUGACUCGUCACACUAUCAUUAACUGAAUCCAUAGGUUAAUGAGGCGAACCGGGGGAACUGAAACAUCUAAGUACCCCGAGGAAAAGAAAUCAACCGAGAUUCCCCCAGUAGCGGCGAGCGAACGGGGAGGAGCCCAGAGCCUGAAUCAGCAUGUGUGUUAGUGGAAGCGUCUGGAAAGGCGCGCGAUACAGGGUGACAGCCCCGUACACAAAAGCGCAUGUGCUGUGAGCUCGAUGAGUAGGGCGGGACACGUGGUAUCCUGUCUGAAUAUGGGGGGACCAUCCUCCAAGGCUAAAUACUCCUGACUGACCGAUAGUGAACCAGUACCGUGAGGGAAAGGCGAAAAGAACCCCGGCGAGGGGAGUGAAAAAGAACCUGAAACCGUGUACGUACAAGCAGUGGGAGCCCCACCACCAAAGCAUUUGCUGUACCGCGUUGACGGAGCGAAGCGACGUCAAACCGAUAAAACAGCAGUGUAAAGUGAGCCGCAGGGCGCUUUGCGCGACAGCGCAAAGGCAGGCGGUUUCGCGUAGCGAAAGCGAAUGCUUUGGGGUGGGGUGACUGCGUACCUUUUGUAUAAUGGGUCAGCGACUUAUAUUCUGUAGCAAGGUUAACCGAAUAGGGGAGCCGGAGGGAAACCGAGUCUUAAUUGGGCGUUAAGUUGCAGGGUAUAGACCCGAAACCCGGUGAUCUAGCCAUGGGCAGGUUGAAGGUUGGGUAACACUAACUGGAGGACCGAACCGACUAAUGUUGAAAAAUUAGCGGAUGACCUGUGGCUGGGGGUGAAAGGCCAAUCAAACCGGGAGAUAGCUGGUUCUCCCCGAAAGCUAUUUAGGUAGCGCCUCGUGAAUUCAUCUCCGGGGGUAGAGCACUGUUUCGGCUAGGGGGCCAUCCCGGCUUACCAACCCGAUGCAAACUGCGAAUACCGGAGAAUGUUAUCACGGGAGACACACGGCGGGUGCUAACGUCCGUCGUGAAGAGGGAAACAACCCAGACCGCCAGCUAAGGUCCCAAAGUCAUGGUUAAGUGGGAAACGAUGUGGGAAGGCCCAGACAGCCAGGAUGUUGGCUUAGAAGCAGCCAUCAUUUAAAGAAAGCGUAAUAGCUCACUGGUCGAGUCGGCCUGCGCGGAAGAUGUAACGGGGCUAAACCAUGCACCGAAGCUGCGGCAGCGAACGUAUCACUUAAAGCGAUUCAGCGGGUUACGAUUGACGGAGCGAAGCGACGUCAAAGCGUAUACAAAGUCGAGUCGGUUUAAGGAUACGUUCGUUGGGUAGGGGAGCGUUCUGUAAGCCCGUGAAGGUGGCCUGUGAGGGUUGCUGGAGGUAUCAGAAGUGCGAAUGCUGACAUAAGUAACGAUAAAGCGGGUGAAAAGCCCGCUCGCCGGAAGACCAAGGGUUCCUGUCCAACGUUAAUCGGGGCAGGGUGAGUCGACCCCUAAGGC